AAUUAGCCCUUUUGCUUUUAAAACAAUAUCCAGCCAGGUCCUUAGUUUUUUUCCCCCAGAAUAUGAACUAAAACAGUAACUUGCAUUUAUACACUUUUUUCUUCAGAGAUUAUAUAUUUAGUUUUUAAAAAUACGUGUUUAAUAUCCAGGAUCCCCCUUUUUCCCAUUCUAGCUGAUAGUGAAUUAUCUCUUACUGCAAAGGUAGUCUUUUCCCUUAAUUACAUUUUCUUCUCCCUUCCCUAGGCCAAUUCUCAUGAUUCUACUAUUUUUUUAAAGAGGCAAAAUAAGUAAGGUGAAAAUGAUUACAUAAUAAGGUAGUAGAUUUAGGUAAGCAAACGCAGGGGUCCUUAUUUGCAUUUGGUGCUUGGUCCACUUAAAAAGUAGUAUUUUUUCUUUGUAUUUUUCAAGAACCAUAUACUAGACUUAUGAGAAUAGUAUUGCUUUUUUGCUUCUUUGUAGAAAUCUGUUUCUGUAACAACCAAUUUUAGGUAGGCUAAUAAUACUAACUUGUUUUUUUCAGAGUUUGAAAUAAACUUUUUUUUUAGAAUGGUUUUAGAUUUACAGAAAAAUUGGAAAAAUGGUAGAGUUUCCAUAUGCCCUGCCCCCAGUUUCUCUAUUAUUAACAUCUUACAUUAGCAUGGUAUACUUGCCAUAAUUAGUGAACCAAUACUGAUAUGUUAUUAUUAACUAAUGUCCUUAGUUCAUUCAGAUUUCUUAAACUUUGCCUAAUGGCUUUUUCUGUUCCAGGAUACCACCUUACAUUUAGUUUAUGGAUCUUCUUAGUCUCUUAUUUGCUGUAACAGUUUCUUAGAUUUUCAUUGUUUUUGAUGACCUUGACAGUUUUGGUAUUUUUUUUUCUUUUUUUAUUGAGGUAUAACUGACAUACAUUAUUUUAUUAGUUUCAGGUGUAGAUAUUAACUUUAAAAUACCAUAUAACCCUGAGAAACAAAGAAUAGCAUGGGCAGAGCCUAACCUCCACACUUGUUGAUUUUCUGCCUAGAGUUUACUGGUUAAUUUAGCACUUAAUUGAAAAUAUAACUCUAGGAGGAAACUUUCUUUUCUCAAAAUAGACAAAAGGCUAAAUUCUGUAUGUUCAUUAAGUUUUGAUUUUUUUUUUUUUCAAAGUAUGGGGAAACCUGAAUUGGGAAGUUUGUCACAUGUCCAAAGAAAUGUAAGGACAGAAUAGACUGAUCAGCACCACCUGUCCUCAACCCUCCCCCCCAAGUAGAUUAGACUGGUUUAGUUACUUUGUUGGGCUAUUCACCAACAGCUGUUUGCUGAAUAUUUUUAAGUCUCUCUGUUCUUUUAGAAGAGAAGCCUGAUUUAUCUGGCCUCUCAGUAGCACUGAUUACUGAGUUCUUGCUGUAGCCUUCUGCUUGAUCUUUUCCAUUUUGGAAAAACUCAAUAAAAGCAAGUGUCACAGUUUUAGGAUUGCAAUUAGCAUUUGCUUCUGCAUUUCAUCUUUCUGAAGUUUGUACAGUGACUAAAACAUUCUCAUUUUUGGAAGUUCAGCAAAAUGAGGGAAGCAUAGUUCAGAAAAUUCUCAUGCUGAGGAGUACAAGUCCCUCUCUUGUCAUUCCUUUUCCCAUGUGUUCCAAACUGAGGCCGUAUAAAGUAUAACUGUAAUGUGACUUUUUCAACAAAUAGAGUGGCUAUAUCCAAAUUAGUUAUUCCCUUGAAGUGGUCAACUUUGGAGGGCAUACAUUUAUUUCAGGGAAAACUGCCUUUGCUUAAUGUGCUCAGAAUUUUAAUUUUGGAUCACUGUUUUUCUUUUGGCACAUUAUUCUGACUGCUCUGUCACAGUAAAUUUUCAUCUUUGGGGGGUAAAUUACACUUUAAGAAACAUUCACAAGUCACUCAGAUCAAAUUAGGGGAAUAAAAUGGCAGGAUGAAAUAGAAUAAUCUCUUUUUAAACACAUCUCAGAUGUGAAGUAAUGGGACUGUUUUUCUUGUAUAACUAUAUACUGCCCCCUAAGGCUUUCCAAAAGAGGCAUUCCAAAAAACAUUUGAAAGGUGAGAACUUGGGUAGAAUAAGAGCAUGGUUUUCCAGGGUGAAAAGAUGUCUGAGUACUCUGAAGGAGAAGAUUCAAAUGCUCGUCUUAGGUUGUUGAAACAAUCUCAGUACUUGAUAUCAACCUUCAGUGCAUCCGAAUUUCCUGUAGAACCUAGAUAGGUAAGUAGAUAGAUAGAUAGAUAGAAAGAUAGGUAGAUAGAUGCAUCCCUAGGCCUCAUACCAUUCUUAACUGUAUCACAAUCUUUGGAACUGGUGUUCAGGUAGAUAUAUUUUAAAAAAUACCAGAGAUUUUCUGACAGCACCAAAAAUUGAGGACCAUUGCUUUACAUUUCGUAUAUAUUUCAUAUACUCCCUGAGGUACAGAGUUGACUUUUUUGUACAUACUAUCCUUUGUAAGUAGGGGAACGUACUUGCCUCCGUAAAGAGGCAUUUGUAUUCUCUCACAGAAGCAAAAAGAUGUUCUCAUUUCCUUCAAUCCAAAAGAGUUCUUUUCUAUUGAGCUGCUGCUUCAAACCAUCUGUACUUUUCCUACAUACCAUUUGUCACACUGUACAACUUACUACUUUUAUCAGUCCCACUAGAAUGGAAACUCCAUAAAGUCAAGGACCAUGUCUGUUUUGCUAUCACUAUGACCCAGCACAGUGGCUAGCCCAUAACAGGCACUCAAGAAGAAAAGAAAGGAUCAGAAAUAAAUAUGCAAGGCUAAUAGGCCAUGAUUUAACAAAAGUAGGCCUGAACCUGAACUUGCCUUAAUGAUUUUGAAAUACAAUGCUAUAUAUAGCAACAAAUAUUUAUUAAGUUGUGCGUUAGAGCACUAAACAGAGUCGAGUGACUGAGGCACCAAUCCCAGUUCUCCCAUUUGGUAGUAUAGACCUUGAGAUUGUUACUAAAACUCUUCUGUUGCUUCAUUUGUAUUGAAUAAGAAAAGGUGGUUAAUCUGAAGGAUCUCUGUAAUUCUUUCUAUCUCUGAAAAUUCUGUGAUUCUAAGUGCCUGGUAUUACGCCAGGCACAAUAGCUGACAGCAAAAGAAGCUUUCUUAAGGACUCAUUGUAAGUUGUUUAGAUGUAUAUUUCACCAACUAAGAGAUGACUUACUAAAUUUCAAGUGAGUUCCUAAGUCUAGAACCCCUAUGCCCAAGGACAAGAAUAAACAUAAUAACAUUAAGUGUUUUCUGUAGGAAAGGCAUUCUCUGUGAAACCAGCCUUCCCUUCUCUAGAAGAAGGGAAUAUUUUUGCAGCUGUGAAGUGUGCAACUUUUCCUACGUGACAGUGUUUUGUUGUGCUGACGGACUAGGAAAAAGAGAAGUUAGGAGAGUGGAAUUUUUAACAGUUUUUAAAUCCUCUUCACUUAUCACUCAGCAACUGGAACAAGAGAAACGUGAACUAAGACGAUUUGAGAACCAAGAAGGGGAGUGGGAAGGAUGCGAAGCUGAGCUGGAGAAUGAUGUGAAAGAGCUUCAGGAUGAGUUGGAGAGGCAGCAAGUUCAUCUAUGGGAAGUAGAUGGAGAACAAACACAGGCUGUCCAGGAAUUAUCAGAACAGAACCAAAGGUUAUUGGCUCAAUUCAGGGAUGCUGCAGAGGGAAGAGAUGUGAACACUUCGACAUGAAUAAACAUUGUCCUCCCACUGUGCUGAGAUCAUUGGGAGAAGCACCGAAUUGGGUAAGAAACAGCCAUUCACUUCCUCUAAGAAGUUAUACAAAGUCUUAGCCUUGAAAUAUUCCAAAGCAUUUCAUUGUUAGGGCCCAACAGUGUGUUUUCAGGUCGAAAAAAAUCUAGUUCCACCUGCUCUCUAAAAACAGUGGUAACUGAGGUGUCCUUUAGGGUCCCCGAACCGUGAGAUUUUAAAUAUUUGGUUGUUUAGUCCCAGUGCUGGGACACUGACACUAUCAAAUGAAAGGUGUUUUUUGGUUUGUUUUUGCAAACAGUGUGUGGGGGUGGGGGGGUGUAAUUCAAAGCAACAUUUAAACGGAAAGACAUUCUCUCUCAGAAGCAGGAGGAAAAAGUGCCUUAUUUGCACAUGCAAAGAAACUCGUGACAGGCUCACCACGCCCCACCUGCAGCCUGGCCCCCUAAGGCAGUGAGUAGGUACCCCGGAGAUUCCCCGGCUUUGGAAACACACUCACAUACUUUCUUCAUGGCAGGACAUGCCUCUCCUUGGCUAGCUGGGACUUCUUUUUCUUCUUCCUCCUUUUCCAGGUGAGGCAGCCAGCACCUCUCAGGAAGCCCCUCAGAGAUGGUAAAAAUCCAUGCUUCCGAGUGGAAAGAGCUCUUACAGUCUCGUAGUUUAGGUUUGAAUUCACUGACUAGCUGUGUGAUCUUAGGCAAGUCAUGAAACCUCUUUGAAUCUCCGUCUCCUCACCUCUAAAAUAGCUAGAAAAAGUAUCUGCCAGUUGUUUUAAGGGUUCAAAAUAAUACAUGUGCAGUUCUUGGCACCUGGUAGGUACUAAAUAUCUAGGAGCUAUUACUCCAUCCAGGUGACGAAGUGAGGGGAGUCUAGCCAUUCUCCUCACCCUCACUUCUCCAGAUGGGGUCCCCAAACCAGCAGCAUUAACUGUGAGCGCGUUAGGAAGGCAGACCUGCUGAGUCACGCUUGGCAGUGUAACCAGAUCCCUGGGUUCAUUCCUCUGCACAUCAGCCUGUGAGAGGCUGCAGCCUCAGCUGUGCCAGGCCCUGGUGGGGCCCCCGCAGGACUGUAUCCCAACUGGAACACAGCCUCCUCUUUAGCCCCCUCCAGGCUCCAGCCACGUGAAACACUGGCAUGUACCGCAGGCUUCGUCUUUAAUCUUCGUGGGUCAGCUCAUUUAAUCUUCAAACAAUCCUCGGAGGGAAUGCUGCUCUCUCCAUUUUCCAAAUGAGAAAACUAACCCUACAUGAUGAAAAAUCGCUUCCCUGUCGUCACCCAGCUCAUCUGUCACAGAGGCAGGUUGAAACCCAGGGUCAUUUGAAUCCAGAAGUGUGGCUGACAAAGCCUCUCCUUGACUAGACUCUUGCUGGGCUCCCCUAAGCUCUCUUCCUGACUGGGCCUCAACCUCAGCCUAUAAAAACAGCAGACUCUCAGCACGAAUGAUUUAGGGUCUCUGUGAGAGGCUAGGAGCCUAACUUCCUUGAGCGCCUGAAGUUAGAUAACCCAGAUAAGUUUCAUGUGGAGCCCUCCACCUUCCCGCUUUUUGUACAUUUAGCAGGAAUUUCCACGUGUAAACCCCACCAUUGCCCCUCCCUGCUCUCUCAUUCUCCCUUUAAAAUGCCCUCUGUACAAAUGGAAGUUGAGGUCAGUUCAUGCUGGGCCAUCUUUCCUACUGCAAUAGCAUAUUACUGAUUAAUAUUUGUCCUUAACACUUUAGUGUCUGUCUGUGUUUAUCUGUGACACCUCUUUACCACUAGGUUAUCUAUCUAAUGCUGAUAAGAUGGAGAAUUCCCUGAAAUCAUUUCUCCAUUCAGCCAACUUGAUUAAAAGAACUCUGCUCCCAGAGUACUUGUCCAACAGGUGAUCACAGGUUUGGACCCCGGGUCCAAACCUCUGUCUUUCCUCCGUCUUUCUGCGCUGACGCUUACACACAUUAGUGAGGUCGAUGGAGGGGAGAGGGCUGUAGCCGCAGGGCACCAUGGAGGGCAGUAUAAAUACUGAUCCAGAUGUCCCAGAGAUGCUCAACCAGUGCUUCGGCCCUGGACUUGCAUCCAGUUUCCCUGUGACUGCAAAGAGGUGAGCUGCAGCACAGCCCUGGCAUCCCCAGGGCAUCCCUGGGGAACUCUAAGUCCCGGGUGGUGACAGACAGGAGCCAUCUAUUAGAUGACCACUGGGGACUCUAGGAGGGGAAUGCUGGUGGAGAACACUGGAGCCUGUUCUUUCAACAUCACCCCCAGUGAUGUCCUGAAGGCACCCCACCCAGGCGAAUUACCUGGAAUCCAGUCUCUUUCUUACAGCCUCUCUGGGAUUAUUCUGGAAUGAUCUGACAAUAUCUGAAAUCAGGGCUUGGAGGAGCACAGGCAGCUGUGGAUGCCAAGACCCCAAGUCGCUACAGGGAACAUGAGGUGGGGGAGAAUGGGAAGGGAGGGCUGGAACCCUGAGGCCCGGGGACUGUCACGGGACCUCUGGGGAGGACUCAGCCCUACGGGAAUCUAGCCCCUGAUGUCAAGAGAUGAGCAGAGGAAUGUGUGUUCAAUUGCUUUCGGAUAGCAAAUUACUGUGAGACACUAGUAUGUUAUGAGGACAUUUUGUUCCCAUUCCCAAGGCAGGCUGAUAGGAAGGCAGGCCCAGCCACACAGGGCUGGUGGCAAGAUGUAAGUGUGCCACAGAUAAAACUGGUCAGGCACGCUCAUCACCAUGCCAGGCCUGUCCACGCCCAGCGGGCACCCACACCACACGCUGACCCCACUCCAGAGGAGCACAGUGCUGGGCGUCACCACACUAGCUACUGCGUCGGCCCACCAGAAAUGCCAACUGUCUGCUGAAGGUGGGGGAAAAGCCGGAUAAGGACCAGGUUCGACUUCCUUUAUCCUUUGGAUUUUCUGCUCGUAUCUUGUUAAGGCCCUGCCCCUCAUCCCCCUGCCUUUCCUUCUCUUUUUUUUCUUUAAUUUUAAUUUUGUGGGUGGUUCUUUUGGAGCCCUCUACAGCUUUAGGGAACUUUGAACCCACUCUAGUCUUCCUUUAUUCCUUCUUCAUCCUGGUGAACUCUGGAGAGCAGAAGGAGCUUUUAGAAACUCAAAUCAAAGCAUAUCGCGCUGCCACCUAAACUCACCAUUCUGUCACAUUUAGAACCAACACCAAACUCCUCACCAAGGCCCCUGAGGCCUAAUAUGAUCCACCACCUCCUACUCUCUCUGCUCUGUACCCAGACAUACUGGGCUGCCCCACAGGGCCUCUGCAUCUGCUGCUCCUUCUUCUGAAGCACCCUUGCCCAUUCUCGUCGUGCAGGUCUGGCUCAAAUGCCUCUUCUGGCACAAGUCCUCCCUCCUGAGCCCCCAGCUCUGCACCCCCAGCAGUGCCUAUCACAUCACCCACCACAGCACUCACCACAGCACCCUCAUCACUCAUCAGUCACCCAGCACAGCACCCACAUCACUUGUCAGUCACCCAGCACAGCACCCUCGUCACUCAUCAAUCACCCACCACAGCACCCUCGUCACUCAUCAGUUACCCAGCACAGCACCCAUGUCACUCAUCAGUCACCCAGCACAGCACCCUUGUCACUCAUCAGUCACCCAGCACAGCACCCAUGUCACUCAUCAGUCACCCAGCACAGCCCCCUCGUCACUCUUCAGUC